rnacentral:ncRNA from 2 species
AGAGGGAAUCCGGUGAGAAUCCGGAACUGUCCCGCAGCGGUAUGCAGGAACGACCGCCGUCAACAGCACUGGUCGCACGACUGGGAAGCGACGGCCACUAGGAGCACCACACAGGUGCGCGCCUGCGAGUCCGAAGACCU